CGCCGUUGUGUCUUAACGUUGAGCACACUUUCGAGAGGAAUCGAUCUUUUUGAGAAGAAGACCUGGCCAGAGAAAACAGAGUCAUCAGUCCGUCACCACAACCUGAUCGACAAUGGCACGGCCUUACGUGUUUAUGUUGCUAAUGACCUGUCUAGCUGCGCUGGUUUACGUCGUGUGCGGCACACCAGUUUCUUCAAAAACAGGCAAUGACGCUCACCGCAUUGCCAAACGACAGACAACAAGGUGCAGGACAGGUACGUGCGCCUACCAUAAUUUGCCAGACCAGUUGCAUCAGUACAACCUACAUCAAGCAAAGGGUCAAUCCGGAGGAACAGGCGCUCAUAGCUACGGCCGGCGAAGACGAUCUGUCCUUCAUAGAAAGCAGCUUCUUGGCCUCUUGAGCAGUAGUUCGGGACACCGAUGAACGGGGAACCAAAUAGCCAUAUCCGAGGAUGAGCCAUUGCGACGAGAGGCUUGAACCUGUUACUUUGUCACUACUGGUAUCGCGGGAAUAAACACUGUAUCUUGUGA